UGCUGGCGGCUUGGCUGCAUGUGCUCGCUCUUAACAAUCUUUAUCCAAACACCUGUGCACAUUUAGAGAGGGUCUCCGAGUUCUCCUUGGAGUCCCUUCCUCUCAUUAUACACUAGUUUUUAAUAUUGAACGUGAUUGUGCCGUGAGGCCUUAAUAUCAAUACAACUUUUAACAACGGAUCUCUUGGCUCUCGCAUCGAUGAAGAACGCAGCGAAAUGCGAUAAGUAAUGUGAAUUGCAGAAUUCAGUGAAUCAUCGAAUUUUUGAACGCACCUUGCGCUCCCUGGUAUUCCGGGGAGCACGCCUGUUCGAGUGUCGUGAAAUUCUCAAACUGGGAUGCUUUUUUGUUUCUCGGCUUGGUGUUGGGCUUUGCAGUUCCUUUGAUUGGGAUGGCUGGCCUCAAAAGCAUUAGCUGGCUUUUCAUGUGGCAUUGGUUCUACUCAGCGUGAUAAUGAUCUGACCGCCGAGGACAUCUUUCGAGAUGGCCAAUUUCUCAUUUGGGGCUGCUUCUAAUUUUGGUAGAGCGGAUUCUGAAUCUGUUCCACUUU
rnacentral:rRNA from 1 species